rnacentral:rRNA from 1 species
AGGACGAACGCUGGCGGCGUGCUUAACACAUGCAAGUCGAACGGUGACCCUCGGAGCUUGCUUCGGGGUGAUCAGUGGCGAACGGGUGAGUAACACGUGAGUAACCUGCCCCAGACUCUGGGAUAACCCCGGGAAACCGGAGCUAAUACCGGAUACGACACGGAGAGGCAUCUCUACCUUGUGGAAAGUUUUUCGGUCUGGGGUGGACUCGCGGCCUAUCAGCUUGUUGGUGAGGUAAUGGCUCACCAAGGCGACGACGGGUAGCCGGCCUGAGAGGGCGACCGGCCACACUGGGACUGAGACACGGCCCAGACUCCUACGGGAGGCAGCAGUGGGGAAUAUUGCACAAUGGGCGAAAGCCUGAUGCAGCGACGCCGCGUGAGGGAUGAAGGCCUUCGGGUUGUAAACCUCUUUCAGCAGGGAAGAGCGAAAGUGACGGUACCUGCAGAAGAAGCACCGGCUAACUACGUGCCAGCAGCCGCGGUAA